rnacentral:pre_miRNA from 1 species
CAUAUACUCCCAAAGUCCCAAAUUAGUUGACUCAGAUUUGUCUAAAUACAGAUGUAUCUAGACAAGUUUUAGUGUUUGGUACAUCUGUAUGUGAAUAAAUAUAAGUCAACUAAUUUGGGAUGGAGGUUGUAC